rnacentral:rRNA from 1 species
UUUAUGGAGAGUUUGAUCCUGGCUCAGGAUGAACGCUGGCGGCGUGCCUAAUACAUGCAAGUCGAGCGAACGGACGAGAAGCUUGCUUCUCUGAUGUUAGCGGCGGACGGGUGAGUAACACGUGGAUAACCUACCUAUAAGACUGGGAUAACUUCGGGAAACCGGAGCUAAUACCGGAUAAUAUUUUGAACCGCAUGGUUCAAAAGUGAAAGACGGUCUUGCUGUCACUUAUAGAUGGAUCCGCGCUGCAUUAGCUAGUUGGUAAGGUAACGGCUUACCAAGGCAACGAUGCAUAGCCGACCUGAGAGGGUGAUCGGCCACACUGGAACUGAGACACGGUCCAGACUCCUACGGGAGGCAGCAGUAGGGAAUCUUCCGCAAUGGGCGAAAGCCUGACGGAGCAACGCCGCGUGAGUGAUGAAGGUCUUCGGAUCGUAAAACUCUGUUAUUAGGGAAGAACAUAUGUGUAAGUAACUGUGC